rnacentral:rRNA from 1 species
CAGUCGCCGCGGUAAUACGUAGGGUGCAAGCGUUAAUCGGAAUUACUGGGCGUAAAGCGUGCGUAGGCGGUUUGUUAAGUCUGUUGUGAAAUCCCCGGGCUCAACCUGGGAAUGGCAAUGGAUACUGGCAAGCUAGAGUGUGUCAGAGGAUGGUGGAAUUCCCGGUGUAGCGGUGAAAUGCGUAGAGAUCUGGAGGAAUACCGGUGGCGAAGGCGGCCCCCUGGACAAAGACUGACGCUCAGGUGCGAAAGCGUGGGGAGCAAACAGGAUUAGAUACCCCUGUAGUCCCUGUCUCUUAUCC